UACGUAGGCAGCGAGCGUUGUUCGGAAUUACUGGGCGUAAAGAGUGUGUAGGCGGUGCUCUAAGUUCGGUGUGAAAUCUCCUGGCUCAACUGGGAGGGUGCGCCGGAAACUGGAGUGCUUGAGCGUGGGAGAGGAAAGCGGAAUUCCAGGUGUAGCGGUGAAAUGCGUAGAGAUCGGGAGGAACACCUGUGGCGAAGGCGGCCCCCUGGGCCGACACUGACACUGAGAGACGAAAGCUAGGGGAGCGAAUGGG
rnacentral:rRNA from 1 species